GUCAUACGGUUAUUUAUAGUUGCAUGGAAUUUGGGCUUAUUUUGUUUGUGGCCUCUGAUUUCUCGGUACUGCUUCAUAUACUUAUAACAAGGCCGUUAAGUGCCGUCACGGCUAGCACCAGAAACAAUUCUGGCGAAAGUCGUCGCCAGAUUGAGAUAAACCCACCUCAAGGUGCUCGACGAGGGCGCGGCGGGGGCAGCGCAGAGGACAGGCAGCCGGGUGUUAAGCACGUAAAUAAUUCGCUGUUUGCCAUUUAAUUGGUUAAAUUCGCUCGUACAGACAAGCGACUGGCAGCGUUAUCAGUGAUAAGAACUUGAACCAAGUUGGACAAAAGGAACUGAUGAGGAGACGAUCGGGCGAACAGUUAGCUAGGCAUUUAAGCAGUAGCAGCGACGUCAAAGGCAACGAGAGAGAGAGAGAGGGAG